rnacentral:rRNA from 1 species
GUGGGGAAUAUUGGACAAUGGGGGGAACCCUGAUCCAGCCAUGCCGCGUGUGUGAAGAAGGCCUUUUGGUUGUAAAGCACUUUAAGCGGGGAGGAGGCUACCGAGAUUAAUACUCUUGGAUAGUGGACGUUACUCGCAGAAUAAGCACCGGCUAACUCUGUGCCAGCAGCCGCGGUAAUACAGAGGGUGCAAGCGUUAAUCGGAUUUACUGGGCGUAAAGCGCGCGUAGGUGGCCAAUUAAGUCAAAUGUGAAAUCCCCGAGCUUAACUUGGGAAUUGCAUUCGAUACUGGUUGGCUAGAGUAUGGGAGAGGAUGGUAGAAUUCCAGGUGUAGCGGUGAAAUGCGUAGAGAUCUGGAGGAAUACCGAUGGCGAAGGCAGCCAUCUGGCCUAAUACUGACACUGAGGUGCGAAAGCAUGGGGAGCAAACAGGAUUAGAUACCCUGGUAGUCC